AAGGAUUACUCCAACAAGCACUGAUGUUCCUAAUGUGGGUUCAGUUAGAAUUCUACCACCAACAUCCAAACAAGUUUCCUUGAGGAGUCUCAUAGAUUCCCAAUCUAGAAUACUAAGGCUUGUACCAGAUACUCCUGAAAAUAUUCCAAUUAGACAAGAAAUAAGCGAACAAAUUCAGUUAUGGGAAAGGGCAUUAUUGGAGAGUGCAAGGCCUAGCUCAGAUGAAUAGGUUCACCAUUUUCAAAAGGAAUCUUCAGAGGAGGACCUAAAAUAUGCUUUAUUACAUGGUUCCCAAGGCCUAUGACAACAUAUUCUAGAUCGAGGGGAGAAAUUAGUGAGUGGUCAUGAAUCUGAGGAAGCCCAACAAUCAAACUCAUCAGGUAGUGAGCAUGAAGAGGAGCUAGAGGAUCAUGAUGAAGUUUUUGUUGCACACAAUGAUUCGACUGUCAUUCCUGAAACUCGGGAGGAAACCAUCCUUGAAUUUUAGAAAGUGGGAGACAAUAAUAUUGAGGAGGGUAUUCAAUGUGAUGAACAAUCCACACCCACAAUCAGAAAAGUGCCUCAUAGAAAUAUGAAAGAAAGAAAGAGGAUGGAUAGAAACAAAUGAACACAAGACAUAUUGGCUUCCUAUCAUUGUUCAGAAUUCAUUACUAUUAUAAACCUAAUGUA